UACAGAGGUCUCAAGCGUUGUUCGGAUUCAUUGGGCGUAAAGGGUGCGUAGGCGGCGCGGUAAGUCGGGUGUGAAAUCUUGGAGCUUAACUCCGAAACUGCAUUCGAUACUGCCGUGCUUGAGGACUGGAGAGGAGACUGGAAUUUACGGUGUAGCGGUGAAAUGCGUAGAUAUCGUAAGGAAGACCAGUGGCGAAGGCGGGUCUCGUGGACAGUUCCUGACGCUGAGGCACGAAGGUCAGGGGGAGCAAACGGGG
rnacentral:rRNA from 1 species